AGUGAACGCUGGCGGUAGGCCUAACACAUGCAAGUCGAACGGCAGCACAGUAAGAGCUUGCUCUUACGGGUGGCGAGUGGAGGACGGGUGAGGAAUACAUCGGCAUCUACUUUUUCGUGGGGGAUAACGUAUGGAAACUGGCGCUAAUACCGCAUACGACCUACGGGUGAAAGCAGGGGAUCUUCGGACCUUGCGCGAUUGAAUGAGCCGAUGUCGGAUUAGCUAGUUGGCGGGGUAAAGGCCCACCAAGGCGACGAUCCGUAGCUGGUCUGAGAGGAUGAUCAGCCACACUGGAAGUGAGACACGGUCCAGACGCCUACGGGAGGCAGCAGGGGGGAAUAUUGGACAAGGGGCGCAAGCUUGAUCCAGCCAUACCGCGUGGGUGAAGAAGGCUUUCGGGUUGUAAAGCCCUUUUGUUGGGAAAGAAAAGCAGCAGGUUAAUACCCCGCUGUUCUGACGGUACCCAAAGAAUAAGCACCGGCUAACUUCGUG
rnacentral:rRNA from 1 species